rnacentral:tRNA from 1 species
UAUAUUCUGGUGUAAGGUGCACGGAAGCUUUUGAUGCUUAAGGUAAUAGUUCAAGUCUAUUGGUUAUAA